UUUAAGGCAGUAAAGUGGCGACCCUGUAAACAGAAGAGAGCAAUCAACCCUUUUCCCCCAUUCCUCCACCGAAAGGAGCAACUUGGUCCCCAGAAUGCCUUAAACUAGAGAUGUCCGGGUGCUGAUGUUGAGAUUGAAGUGAAGCAGGGGAAAGGCAUGUGGAUGGAGUGAGAAGGCAAUCGAAUCCGUGAUUGAGCUUGGAAACUAUUGCAGGCGUUGGGCGGAGCCAUGGAAGUGAUGGGGAGGGAGUGAUUCUUGGAAAUUUGAUAGAAGAGAGAGGCUGACUCGGAAGGUGUACAUAGAAGCAAGGCACAGAGUCAGCAUUUGAAUUCAGUUUGAACACAGCUACAGGCACAAGCCGUGGAGAAGGGGAGCCUUCCUGUGAACCGUGCCAUUUUCUAGCAGCCUGGGAUGUGCCUGUUAGAGGCUGAGGGACCUCGCAGAGAAGAGCCAAGCUCCUCAGCCCAGGCUACUUGGAACCAGCUUACAGCCAGCCAAGCCCCAACCAAGCAGGAGAGGCCAGCCGGCUCAGAAGAACUGCCCGGUGGGCUUGUGGAUUCAUGAACAGUAACAGAUUAUUAUUUUAGACCACUGAGAUUUUAUUAAACAGUAGUGCUAACUGACACACACACUCAGGUCUUAUCCAUACAUACAGUUCUGGACUUGACUGUUUUGCAUCGAUUCUUGGCACGUUCCUGCAGUGUGUAUUUCCAUAUCACUGUUCUACUGGGGAUUUUCCCCCAAAUGCUUAGCCACUCUAGCAUGAGGUGUAACGAAUAACUAUCUUCUGUUUGGGAUGUCACACGCUCUUCCACGUGCCCUAAAUGCUUCUGGGUAGGGCUUUUCCUUUCUUUCGUAAAUAUCUAUCCAACACCUACUGUGUGCCUGGCACUGCGCUAAGUUCUCUAGCCAAUCAAAGGAUUGUCAUGAGCUGGCAUCUUGCGAGAGCACAGCCUCACAGUGCUUCAUAUACUGAACAACUCUGUACCGAAGAAAAAUAAAAUUUAAUGUUUAUGUCCUGUCCUAGAGCAAAGCAAAAAUCACUCUGAUAACCAGAGGAAGGGUAGCAUCCUCUCUGGCUCAAAAAGGUGUAUUUGGGAAUAAGAGUAAGAGAAGAAAAGGGAAAAAAUAAGGUCUCAUAGUAAGGACCUAAUCUAAUGACUCAAUAGGCUGUUACUUUUUAUUUUAUCAAUGUGAAAGCUGAGUAUCCCUGUUUAAAUUGACUUUUAUGUUUUCCCAAAUUUUCUAAUACAUAGAAAUAUGCGUUCCUGAGAGGUCUGGAUGACCCAGUGGCUAAAGUGUAUUCUAUUUCCAAACUCCUUUAUAUUCUCAUACCUUUUUCCAUCUUACACAAUAAAGUCAGACACUCAA